CUUUGAUUUUAUAUAUGAAGAUAAGAUAUCUGUUAUGGUCUUUUGUUGGACCAGAGGGAAAUCAGAGAAUGGAACUUGGCAUUCUUUUUGUUAUUGAGCAGAACUUGUUGAAGCAGCUCAGUUCACCUGUUGGGUAAUCUAUGGACAGUAAUAAAACAAUGGCUUUUCUCAAGAAGAUAACACUUGGCUUGGCUCCUGUGUUAAAAGAGUUUCAAAAAAGUCCCAAAGAAACACCCUGUGUAAGAGACAUUAGGCGGAAACAUAUUGUGUGAAUGUGGUCAAAUCUACCUCUUUUAGAGCCACUGAACUGGUGGAGAAACAGAGGCCAUCUUGGUUUUAGUCUGGGACACAUUCACCAUUGUAAUCCUAAACCUAAAUAAUCUCUGCUCUUCACUCCUUUAGGACUUUUACUCCUGUUGUUGCUCGUGGUUUCUUCUAAGGUACCCAACGUCCAGACGAGAUCAAUCGACUUUGUGUGAGACACACACGACUGGAGAAACAUGAACAACAUGAAGGACCUGGAAGUUGCCAUGCUACAACAGAAGCGUGCUGAGGUGAGAGGGGCUCUGGGGGUAUUGUUGGACAGUGUGGGGAGAAUGAGGACACACACCAAACUCAGCUGUCAGUUAUCUUUGCUGGAGAGACUAGAGCAUGGAAUCACAAACUACCUGCACAUAGUCACCAACCUGGACAUCACGGAUGACUUGACAGACUCAGAUCCAGACCCAGGCUGUCCCAGCCAGCAGAGCCAGAGUCUGAACCAAGUGCCGCAGCUGUAUGGCAGGGUGCUCCGGGGGAAGCUAGAGUGGCUCUCAAUGGACCUCAGAGACAGCUGCUUGGGACAGAGAUGAUAACCUGGGAUUUCUUCUCUCUCCCUUAUCAAUGCUGAACUGGAUGAAGAAUCUAGGGUGACCAGAAGACUGCACUAGCACUUCCUGGUGGAAGCUGUCUGUACAACAUGGCAGUGUUUUGCUGCCACCUGGAUUUAUUGAUGGAGUUACAGAGCCCUCUUCUGGUGAUAUACAGCAUGGCAUGGUGUGGCACUCGUUGAGGAAAUAGGUGGGAUCUGAGUAGGCUACAAAUGGCUGCUAUCAGAAGCAGGCACUGCCAGAGUCCAAUACCCAGACCAAAGAGACUGGACCUAUGCUCUUAUUAGAUAUGACAAUUCUAAAGACUGUUGGCCCCACUUUAAAGUGCUACUGUGCCAACACUUGCUACAUUAUUUUCUCAAAUGGGAAUAUCCACAGAGUAAAGGUAGCCAUACUAUGCAUGGUUUCCACAGCCAUGUCAGGAGGGAAAGAAACAUCCAUGGUGGAAAUAUAGUUGGUUAAAAUCGAUUACUGCACUGGUUGGAAGAGGAAUAUUCAUCAAAGCCAUGCUUUUGAAGAAUGACUGGUUUGGAAAAAGUUGAGCCAAAAAACAAUGAAAAUGUCAAGAGGGAGAAAGUGUAUUCUAUAUGUAGCCUCUCUCUUUGGGAAUAUGAUGUAUAUGAUUGAUAUUAAAGUGCCCAUGUCAACAAACACUGAUAUUUUAUAUUGGAACAAUAUUUGCUCAUAUUUCUGUAUUUGCUUAAAAUUUUAAAUGUGCACAAUAUGGUCUAUAUUAUGAAGUUUUCUAACAAAAUGAAAUCAUUGAUAAAGUGCAUUCCAUUAAAGGCCCAGUGCAGUAAUCAUUC
rnacentral:lncRNA from 13 species